rnacentral:tRNA from 2 species
GGCGUAGUGGCGCAAUGGCUAGCGCAUAGAGCUUCUAAAUAUUUAGCACUUGACUGGUAGUUAGGGUAACUCUAAGGCUGUGGGUUCGAGUCCCAUCUACGCCU